GGCAUACGGCUCAGUAACACGUAGUCAACAUGCCCAGGGGACGUGGAUAACCUCGGGAAACUGAGGAUAAACCGCGAUAGGUCAUCACUUCUGGAAUGGGUAAUGACUUAAACCUAUAUGGCCCCUGGAUUGGACUGCGGCCGAUCAGGCUGUUGGUGAGGUAAUGGCCCACCAAACCUGUAACCGGUACGGGCUCUGAGAGGAGGAGCCCGGAGAUGGGCACUGAGACAAGGGCCCAGGCCCUAUGGGGCGCAGCAGGCGCGAAACCUCUGCAAUAGGCGAAAGCUUGACAGGGUUACUCUGAGUGAUUUCCGUUAAGGAGAUCUUUUGGCACCUCUAAAAAUGGUGCAGAAUAAGGGGUGGGCAAGUCUGGUGUCAGCCGCCGCGGUAAUACCAGCACCCCGAGUGGUCGGGACGUUUAUUGGGCCUAAAGCAUCCGUAGCCGGUUCUACAAGUCUUCCGUUAAAUCCACCUGCUUAACAGAUGGGCUGCGGAAGAUACUAUAGAGCUAGGAGGCGGGAGAGGCAAGCGGUACUCGAUGGGUAGGGGUAAAAUCCGUUGAUCCAUUGAAGACCACCAGUGGCGAAGGCGGCUUGCCAGAACGCGCUCGACGGUGAGGGAUGAAAGCUGGGGGAGCAAACCGGAUUAGAUACCCGGGUAGUCCCAGCUGUAAACGA
rnacentral:rRNA from 1 species